GACGAACGCUGGCGGCGUGCCUAAUACAUGCAAGUAGAACGCUGAAGGAGGAGCUUGCCUCUCUGGAUGAGUUGCGAACGGGUGAGUAACGCGUAGGUAACCUGCCUGGUAGCGGGUGAUAACUAUUGGAAACGAUAGCUAAUACCGCAUAAUAGUAGAUGUUGCAUGACAUUCGCUUAAAAGGUGCAAUUGCAUCACUACUAGAUGGACCUGCGUUGUAUUAGCUAGUUGGUGGGGUAAAGGCGCACCAAGGCGACGGUACAUAGCCGACCCGGGGGGGGGGACCGGCCCCAUGGGAACUGAGAAACGGCCAGAAUCCCAAGGGGGGGAGCAGGAGGGGAUUUUUGGCAAUGGGCGGAAGUCCGGACGCAGAAAGGCGGGGGGGUGGAGGAGGUUUUCGGAUCGGUAAGCUCUGUUGAAAGGGAAGGACGAGUGGGAGAGUGGAAAGUUCACACUGUGACGGUACCUUACCAGAAAGCGACGGCUAACUACGUG
rnacentral:rRNA from 1 species